rnacentral:miRNA from 2 species
GCACUGAGAUGGGAGUGGUGUA